rnacentral:pre_miRNA from 7 species
GUUUAAGGAGACAAUGAAAGAACCUAGUGGGGAAACCCCCACUUAACUCCCGAUUCAGUGUGCACCCAAGAAUCACGAACAGAACA